rnacentral:rRNA from 1 species
UACGUAGGGUGCGAGCGUUGUCCGGAAUUAUUGGGCGUAAAGAGCUCGUAGGCGGUCUGUCGCGUCGGCUGUGAAAACCCGAGGCUCAACCUCGGGCCUGCAGUCGAUACGGGCAAACUAGAGUACUGCAGGGGAGGACUGGAAUUCCUGGUGUAGCGGUGAAAUGCGCAGAUAUCAGGAGGAACACCGGUGGCGAAGGCGGGUCUCUGGGCAGUAACUGACGCUGGAGGAGCGAAAGCGUGGGGAGCGAACAGG